CAUGCAAGUCGAGCGGAAACGACAMYAWYRAUYCUUCGGRKGMKUURWUGGGCGUCGAGCGGCGGACGGGUGAGUAAUGCCUAGGAAAUUGCCUUGAUGUGGGGGAUAACCAUUGGAAACGAUGGCUAAUACCGCAUAAUGCCUACGGGCCAAAGAGGGGGAYCUUCGGRCCUCUCGCGUCAAGAUAUGCCUAGGUGGGAUUAGCUAGUUGGUGAGGUAAUGGCUCACCAAGGCGACGAUCCCUAGCUGGUCUGAGAGGAUGAUCAGCCACACUGGAACUGAGACACGGUCCAGACUCCUACGGGAGGCAGCAGUGGGGAAUAUUGCACAAUGGGCGAAAGCCUGAUGCAGCCAUGCCGCGUGUAUGAAGAAGGCCUUCGGGUUGUAAAGUACUUUCAGUUGUGAGGAAGGGUGUGUAGUUAAUAGCUGCGCRUCUUGACGU
rnacentral:rRNA from 1 species